UAGUGGACUCACUGUUAUAACUUACAUAAAUUAGCAUUAAAUACCUUAUUUGACAAGAUUUUACAAAGAAGCAGGAAAAAUACAGGAUCGAGUAAACACAGGUUGCCUUCUGCUGUGCAAGACAGGAUGAUAGUAACACUGCAGCACUGACAGUAACAAAACAGACCUAUACACCUGAUAGUACAUCUGAUACUGUGGAGUCAUUUCUCUGCAGACGCACAUUCAGCUUUAAAUAACACCUAGCGGCAGGCAGGCGGCCAGACAGGUGGCCAGACAGGUGGCCUGUGAAGGAAAACAUAGGAAUGUACAGGUACAAUAAAUACAGUGAUUGAUACAGGAAGGCCCGA